rnacentral:lncRNA from 1 species
UUUUUUUUUUUUUCCAUUUUUUGAGUUUUGCUCUUGUUGCCCAGGCUGGAAUGCAGUGGCGCGAUCUUGGCUCACUGCAACCUCCGUCUCCUGGGUUCAAGCUAUUCUCCUGCCUCAGCCUCCUGAGUAGAUGGGUUUACAGACCAGCCUGACCAACAUGGAGAAACCCCGUCUCUACUAAGAAAUACAGAAUUAGCCAGACGUGGUGACACAUGCCUGUAGUCCCAGCUGCUUGGGAGGCUGAGGCAGGGGAAUCGCUUGAACUUGGGAGGCAGAGGUUGCAGUGAGCAGAGAUCACGCUAUUGCACUCCAGCCUGGGCAACAAGAGCAAAACUCCGUCUCAAAAAAAAAAAAAAAAAGAAAGAAAAAUGUGUGUUAGUUUUUAAGUAUGCCAAAAUGUAAUGAAUAGAAGGAAGUUGAGUGUGUCACCCUUUAUAUAGAAAAUUGGCAUCUUAAGUCCAUCAGCAGCAAUGCACAGUUUAUUUUUGGUUUAUUUAUUGAAAUGGCUGCACUGGCUGUCACCAGAUUCUUCUGCUAAUUUCAAAUAGGUGUUUUGGCCUAGGGAGCAGAUUCUCCCCCAACUGCAGAGCUAAUUGAUUUAAAUGGGGACUGAACCUUAUCCUCACAUGAAAACUCUGUUCUAGUUAUAAACGUCUCAACAUUAUCUCUCACCUCAUGACAUACCCACUCAUCUUCACUUCUCUGUCCAGUUCUCCUUUCUGGGCUGCCUUUAUCCUUCCUCCUAAAGUAAGGGAAGAAAACCCACUGCCUAAGGAGCCAGGUGGGUAAUGGGAUUGGCUAUGUGUUGAGCCCAGGGCUUAUAGUGUCUGAGAGGUCAGCUGCCUCAGCGAUAGCCCUUGUCAGUAGUGGGAAUACAAGCUGAGUUUUGUAGUUUUUCAUGACACCUCAAAAAUUGGGAUUUUUAUGUGAAAGCUCCCAAUUUUUUGGAAAAAAAAAACCAAAACACUAUGGUCAUCACAAUGAGGGGCAAAAAUCUUGCAAGUUCUGCUUUAAAGUCCACAUCAGGCCGGGCGUGGUGGCUCACGUUCGUAAUCCCAAAACUUUGGGAGGCCGAGGCAGGUGGAUCAUGAGGUCAGGAGUUCAAGACCAGCCUGGCCAAGAUGGUGAAACCCGUCUCUACUAAAAAUACAAAAAUUGGCUCGGCAUGGUGUCGGGCGCCUGUAAUUCCAGCUACUCGGGAAGCUGAGGCAGAGAAUUGCUUGAACCCGGGAGGCAGAGGUUGUAGUGAGCCAAGAUUGUGCCACUGCACUCCAGCCUGGGUGACAGAGUGAGGCUCUGUCUCAAAAAAUAAAUAAAUAAAUAAAGUCCACAUCAAAGCCUGUCACCAAGAAACCUUGCCAACCAUUUCAGCCAUUAGUGGUCUUCUCUGAAUUGCACCUGUCUAGUUAGUUUUAAAGAUUUGCCAGCUUAGUCAAUUUUAUAAUUGUCGAACGUUUGCUAGUUUUGUCUCUCUGAAUAGAAAGCAAGCCCCCAGAUCACAUAAUGGUCAUUGGCUACUUAAUGAUGAAUGGAUUAAGCGUUUUAGGGCUACUUAAAUCUCUUAGGCAGAGACUGCAGGUCAACUUCUUGAACAAAUCUCAAGAGUUUACGAAUCUCAAGUCAGGCUUGGGAGGCCAACACAGGUGGAUCACUUGAGCCUGGGAGUUUGAGACCAGCCUGGGCAACAUGCUGAAACUCCACCUCUACUAAAAAUACAGAAAAAUAACCGGGGAUGGUAGCACAGGCCUGUAGUCCCAACUUGGGCAGCUGAGGUGGGAGAAUCACCUGAGGCCAGGAAGUCUAGGCUGCAGUGAGCCAUGAUGAUGCCACUGCACCCCAGCCCGGGUGAGAGUGAGAUCUUGCCUCCA